GUUUGAUAAAACACUUGUGUUUUAUGGAAUAAUGAAAUUAUUGAUCAUAAAUAAUAAUUGCUUUCUCAUUAUUAGCUAUUUGAAAUAAACCUGGAAGGGACCAGAACUGAAUCGGAAAUCCAAGUCUUUGUGUGGGGAUUGAUUGACGCACUCAGGACCAGAAUGCUGACAGAACCUUGGACCAGUACACACCAGGAAAGGAAGAGACACCACCUGCACCCACUGGAAGAAGAGAUGGGAAGACGACAAUAUAAGAACAUAUCCAACAACAGAAAAACCAAUAUGAUGCCACCAGAUUCUAGGGACUUUUUCUUUUUGAGACUCCUUCGUACUCUUGGAAUUAUUUUUAUUUAGUUUCUUACAUUUCCUCAAACUCUAACUUUUUUUAUAAUUCUUAAUAAAGCUUAAUUCAGC
rnacentral:lncRNA from 1 species